rnacentral:rRNA from 1 species
GAAGGUCCUCUGGAUUGUAAACUUCUUUUAUCUAUGAAGAAAUGUCCUGAUUCUUCGGGACUUGACGGUAAUAGAUGAAUCAGCACCGGCUAACUCCGUGCCAGCAGCCGCGGUAAUACGGAGGGUGCAAGCGUUAUCCGGAUUCACUGGGUUUAAAGGGUGCGUAGGUUGACCGGGAAGUCAGUGGUGAAAUACUCUACGCUUAACGAGAGAACUGCCGUUGAUACUAUCGGUCUUGAAUACGGUGGAGGCGGGCGGAAUGUGUCAUGUAGUAGUGAAAUACUUAGAUAUGACACAGAACACCUAUUGCGAAGGCAGCUCGCUACGCCGUCAUUGACACUGAGGCACGAAAGCGUGGGGAUCAAACAGGAUUAGAUACCCUGGUAGUCCACGCCCUAAACGAUGUUCACUCGAUCUCAGCGAUACACUGUUGGGGUCUAUGCAAAAGCACUAAGUGAACCACCUGGGGAGUACGAUCGCAAGAUUG